rnacentral:lncRNA from 10 species
UUGAGGAUACAAGUGUGAAUAAGAGACAGACAUUCUCGGCCGGGCGCGGUGGCUCACGCCUGUAAUCCCAGCACUUUGGGAGGCCGAGGCAGGCAGAUCACGAGGUCAGGAGAUCGAGACCAAGGUGAAACCCCGUCUCUACUAAAAAUACAAAAAGUUAGCCGGGUGUAGUGGCGGGCGCCUGUAGUCCCAGCUACUCGGGAGGCUGAGGCAGGAGAAUGGCGUGAACCUGGGAGGCGGAGCUUGCAGUGAGCCGAGAUAGCGCCACUGCACUCCAGCCUGGGUGACAGAGCGAGACUCCGUCUCAAAAAAAAAAAAAAAAAAGAGACAGACAUUCCCUGUUUGGGGGGAGGUUAGUGGGUUAUAUUGAAGUGGGCCGAAGACUGAAAAGGGGAGGAGACUAUAGGAGUGGAGACAUUAAGCGUGUAUAACUUUACCCCGAGGUUUGCUUGCAAAUGGGAGGAAAGAGUAGGAAGUGGUGGGAACGGAGCACAAAGAAUCAAGAGAAUUUAGUUAUUCUACCCCCCAUCCCCAAGAUCCUUGCAAGUUUUUAAGCAUAGUUGAAUGCUAAUGGGAGGGUGCCCAGAGAGAAGAUUUAUUGAAUGCUGGCUCUGGUUUGUAUCCUAUAAUAAACUUCAUCAAGUUAUAAUCUGUUUUGCAGUUGUAGUUUCCUCAUGUAAAAAGGGAUCUGUAAAAUCUCAUCUGCAAAAAUAUCUCUAAAGCAGUGAUCUGAGUAUUAAAUUACCUCUAUAUAUCUACUGCCUGGCACAGUAUGUGGCUCAUAAUAGGGACCCAAAAAUGAUUUGUGAAUGAAUAUGUUGAAUGUUGUUUGUGUGUGUGUGUGUUUUUUUUUUGAGACCAGAGUCUUGCUCUUUUCACCCAGGCUGGAGUGCAAUGCUGCGGUCUCGGCUCACUGCAACCUCCACCUCCCGGGUUCAAGCAGUUCUCCUGCCUCAGCCUCCUGAGUAGCUGGGAUUACAGGUGCCAGCCAUCACGCCCGGCUAAUUUUUGUAUUUUAAGUAGAGACGUGGUUUGGCCAUGUUGACCAGGCUGGUCUCAAACUCCUGACCUCGUGAUCUGCCCGACCCGUUCUCCCAAAGUGCUGGAAUUACAGGCGUGAGCCACC